rnacentral:rRNA from 1 species
UACGUAGGGUGCGAGCGUUAAUCGGAAUACUGGGCGUAAAGCGUGCGCAGGCGGUUUUGUAAGCCAGAUGUGAAAGCCCCGGGCUCAACCUGGGAAUGGCAUUUGGGACUGCAAGGCUUGAGUGCGGCAGAGGAGACUGGAAUUCCUGGUGUAGCAGUGAAAUGCGUAGAUAUCAGGAGGAAUACCGAUGGCGAAGGCAGGUCUCUGGGCUGACACUGACGCUCAUGCACGAAAGCGUGGGGAGCAAACAGG